UACGUAGGGUGCAAGCGUUAAUCGGAAUUACUGGGCGUAAAGCGUGCGCAGGCGGUUUUGUAAGUCAGAUGUGAAAUCCCCGGGCUUAACCUGGGAACUGCGUUUGAAACUACAAGGCUAGAGUGUGACAGAGGGGGGUGGAAUUCCACGUGUAGCAGUGAAAUGCGUAGAGAUGUGGAGGACACCGAUGGCGAAGGCAGCCCCCUGGGUUAACACUGACGCUCAGGCACGAAAGCGUGGGGAGCAACAGG
rnacentral:rRNA from 1 species